rnacentral:misc_RNA from 1 species
UCGAAACCUGCAUAGCAGAACAACCAGUGAACAUGUUUUUUCCAUGAAUGGGGGAGGCGUGGUGGCUUGCCAACAACCUUCCCCAAAAUGUCACGGGGCUUUCCGUUGUGUUUGCUCCGUGGCACAACAACCAACCCCCGGCGCGUUAUGCGUCAAGGAAUGUAAUCAUGAGUUUGCCUAUCCAUGAUCGGGUUUCCGAUUUAUGGGUGUGGCACCAAUGUAUGUCAUAAAAUGA